rnacentral:lncRNA from 1 species
UGAUGGAUUGCUCUCCCCCGCCUUGGGGAAGGCUGCCUGCCUGCCUGUCUGUCUGUCCUGCAGGCCCAUUUUGUUUGGGGUGGCCAAAGGGCAGGGCAGCUGAGUGGCUCUCCAAAUAGAUUUCACCCAGCAGGAAGGUGACAAAGCCCGGCCGGUCAAGCCAGACCAGUGCUUGUCCUCACCGCUCACUCCCGCCCCCUUGCUUGCUGCCAGCAGGCUGACCUUCAGCUCCCUCCACUGCUUGGAGCCAGCCAGGAGGGCUGACAGAGCUGGCCCAAUCUUUGGUUCUCNNNNNNNNNNNNNUGCCCACCCACCCCUUUGAGUGCCCCUCCUCCUAGCUCUGAAUGCUUGACGUGGGCUGAGGAAGGUGGCUUUCCUAGAGCCAUGCCCGCCUGUGCACCAAGCCUCCGUACCCUUGGCGUUAGCAGUGGUGGCCCGCCAGCUGGAGGGUGGGGUGGAUUUCCUUACCCAUCAUCCUUGGAGACGCUGAUGGCAUCUGCAUGAAAUGCACGGGCGCUUUCCCUAAACCUGUCCUUGGCGUUUGGGACCAAGGGCUGUUUCCAACAGGAAGGACGAAAGAGCUGCCUCUGAACCCGUCGGCUCCUUGUGCCCCCGGGCUCAGUUGCGUUGGCACAGACGGGCAGCAGACUUUCUGGUCGGGGCUUUCCCUGCCCUCCCCGGAGAUGUCCUCAGAGUUCAAAUAUAGGGUCUCUGGAAGCCAAUAAGGAGGCAAACGGUGAGGAUUCAAAACUGGCCCAGGGACUCCAACCCACUAAGCUGGACCGGCAGUGCCUGAGACUGGACUGGAUGGGGCCCCCGGGUGGGAUCCAGUUUCAAGGUUCCGAGGAGGUGCUUAAGCAACGCGCUCGGGGUAUGCCAUUUUCUGGCCGGAUCAACCACGGCGAUGGGAUCAGCGCAAAGAGGGCUGGGAUGAGGCUGAACCGCAUUCGGUCUGCCAAGGUAUUGAAAGCCAGCUUGUGCCCUGCUCGAAUUCAACCCUGGAAAUCAUUGCCACCUUCGAAAGCGGGAAGAAAAAGGGCAGCUUUGCCAGAGGUCAUGCCAGGGGCCAUAUAAGACCAGCCUUUUACGUUUUUUUCCCCACCUCCAAGCACUAGAAACAGGUGGUCCUCUGAACGUGUACAAAGCCAGGAGCACCGCGGGGGUGGUGGUUUC